AUAACAUUUGGAAACAGAUGCUAAUACCGCAUAAACCUAACACCGCAUGGUGUAGGGUUGAAAGAUGGUUUCGGCUAUCACUUUAGGAUGGACCCCGCGGUGCAUUAGUUAGUUGGUGAGGUAAAGGCUCACCAAGACCGUGAUGCAUAGCCGACCUGAGAGGGUAAUCGGCCACACUGGGACUGAGACACGGCCCAGACUCCUACGGGAGGCAGCAGUAGGGAAUCUUCCACAAUGGACGAAAGUCUGAUGGAGCAACGCCGCGUGAGUGAAGAAGGUUUUCGGAUCGUAAAACUCUGUUGUUGGAGAAGAAUGUAUCUGAUAGUAACUGAUCAGGUAGUGACGGUAUCCAACCAGAAAGCCACGGCUAACUACGUG
rnacentral:rRNA from 1 species